rnacentral:rRNA from 1 species
UUGGUUAAGUUAGAAAGGGCGCACGGUGGAUGCCUUGGCACUAGGAGCCGAAGAAGGACGGGACUAACACCGAUAUGCUUUGGGGAGCUGUACGUAAGCGUUGAUCCAGAGAUUUCCGAAUGGGGGAACCCACUAUCUUUAGUCGGAUAGUAUCCUUACGUGAAUACAUAGCGUGAGGAAGGCAGACCCAGGGAACUGAAACAUCUAAGUACCUGGAGGAAGAGAAAGAAAAAUCGAUUUCCUGAGUAGCGGCGAGCGAAACGGAAAGAGCCCAAACCAAGAAGCUUGCUUCUUGGGGUUGUAGGACACUCUAUACGGAGUUACAAAAGAAAGUUAUAAAUGAAGCGGUCUGGAAAGGCCCGCCAAAGACGGUAACAGCCCGGUAGUUGAAAUGGCUUUCCCUCCAGAGUGGAUCCUGAGUACGGCGGAACACGUGAAAUUCCGUCGGAAUCCGGGAGGACCAUCUCCCAAGGCUAAAUACUCCCUAGUGACCGAUAGUGAACCAGUACCGUGAGGGAAAGGUGAAAAGCACCCCGGAAGGGGAGUGAAACAGUUCCUGAAACCGUGUGCCUACAAGUAGUUAGAGCCCGUUAAUGGGUGAUAGCGUGCCUUUUGUAGAAUGAACCGGCGAGUUACGAUUUGUUGCAAGGUUAAGCGGAAAAAGCGGAGCCGUAGCGAAAGCGAGUCUGAAUAGGGCGCAUAAGUAACAGGUCGUAGACCCGAAACCAGGUGAUCUACCCAUGUCCAGGAUGAAGGUAAGGUAAUACUUACUGGAGGUCCGAACCCACGCACGUUGAAAAGUGCGGGGAUGAGGUGUGGGUAGCGGAGAAAUUCCAAUCGAACUUGGAGAUAGCUGGUUCUCUCCGAAAUAGCUUUAGGGCUAGCCUCGAGGUAAAGAGUCAUGGAGGUAGAGCACUGUUUGGACUAGGGGCCCUUCUCGGGUUACCGAAUUCAGAUAAACUCCGAAUGCCAUGUACUUAUACUCGGGAGUCAGACUGCGAGUGAUAAGAUCCGUAGUCGAAAGGGAAACAGCCCAGACCACCAGUUAAGGUCCCCAAAUAUAUGUUAAGUGGAAAAGGAUGUGGGGUUGCUUAGACAACCAGGAUGUUGGCUUAGAAGCAGCCACCAUUGAAAGAGUGCGUAAUAGCUCACUGGUCGAGUGACCCCGCGCCGAAAAUGUACCGGGGCUAAACAUAUUACCGAAACUGUGGAUGAACCUCUUUAGAGGUUCGUGGUAGGAGAGCGUUCUAAGGGCGGUGAAGUCAGACCGGAAGGACUGGUGGAGCGCUUAGAAGUGAGAAUGCCGGUAUGAGUAGCGAAAGAAGGGUGAGAAUCCCUUCCACCGAAUAUCUAAGGUUUCCUGAGGAAGGCUCGUCCGCUCAGGGUUAGUCGGGACCUAAGCCGAGGCCGAUAGGCGUAGGCGAUGGACAACAGGUAGAGAUUCCUGUACCAGUGCUAAUUGUUUAACCGAUGGGGUGACACAGAAGGAUAGGGAAUCGCACGAAUGGAAAUGUGCGUCCAAGCAGUGAGUGUGAGAAGUAGGCAAAUCCGCUUCUCGCGAAGCAUGAGCUGUGAUGGGGAAGGAAAUUAAGUACGGAAGUUCCUGAUUUCACGCUGUCAAGAAAAGCCUCUAGGAAGAGUAGUACUGCCCGUACCGCAAACCGACACAGGUAGAUGAGGAGAGAAUCCUAAGGUGAGCGAGAGAACUCUCGUUAAGGAACUCGGCAAAAUGACCCCGUAACUUCGGGAGAAGGGGUGCUCUAUUAGGGUGCAAGCCCGAGAGAGCCGCAGUGAAUAGGCCCAGGCGACUGUUUAGCAAAAACACAGGUCUCUGCAAAACCGUAAGGUGACGUAUAGGGGCUGACGCCUGCCCGGUGCUGGAAGGUUAAGAGGAGUGCUUAGCUUCGGCGAAGGUACGAAUUGAAGCCCCAGUAAACGGCGGCCGUAACUAUAACGGUCCUAAGGUAGCGAAAUUCCUUGUCGGGUAAGUUCCGACCCGCACGAAAGGCGCAACGAUCUGGGCACUGUCUCAACGAGAGACUCGGUGAAAUUAUAGUACCUGUGAAGAUGCAGGUUACCCGCGACAGGACGGAAAGACCCCGUGGAGCUUUACUGCAACCUGAUAUGGAAUGUUUGUACCGCU